AUUGAACGCUGGCGGAAUGCUUUACACAUGCAAGUCGAACGGUAGAGGGGGCAACCCCCUUGAGAGUGGCGAACGGGUGAGUAAUAUAUCGGAACGUGCCCAGUCGUGGGGAUAACGUAGCGAAAGUUACGCUAAUACCGCAUACGAUCUAAGGAUGAAAGCGGGGGACUCGCAAGAGCCUCGCGCGAUUGGAGCGGCCGAUAUCAGAUUAGGUAGUUGGUGGGGGUAAAGGCUCACCAAGCCAACGAUCUGUAGCUGGUCUGAGAGGACGACCAGCCACACUGGAGCUGAGACACGGUCCAGACUCCUACGGGAGGCAGCAGUGGGAAUUUUGGACAAUGGACGCAAGUCUGAUCCAGCCAUUCCGCGUGCAGGAUGAAGGCCCUCGGGUUGUAAACUGCUUUUGUACGGAACGAAAGGUUUCUAUUAAUACUAGGAGCUCAUGACGUACCGUAGAAUAAGCACCGGCUAACUACGUGCCAGCAGCCGCG
rnacentral:rRNA from 1 species